ACCAAGUGUACGAUCUAUAGCUGGUUUUAGAGGAUGAUCAGCAACACUGGGACUGAGACACGGCCCAGACUCCUACGGGAGGCAGCAGUGGGGAAUCUUAGACAAUGGGCGCAAGCCUGAUCUAGCCAUGCCGCGUGUGUGAUGAAGGUCUUAGGAUCGUAAAGCACUUUCGCCAGGGAUGAUAAUGACAGUACCUCGUA
rnacentral:rRNA from 1 species